rnacentral:ncRNA from 1 species
UAGGGUAGAGGCGCGAUAUUUAAGAGUAAUCCGUCGGAUGACUUAGAGCAGAUGAUGACGGUCGAAAGGGAAUGUCGCCGAAGGGGGUUUUUAUCUAAGGAAAAGCUUUCCUGGUUGUAUAGUUAAGAGCUAUGCGACUGUCAUCGUAAGAUGGAGCGCUACUUUG